UGUGAGUCAUUGCAGUAAUGCAAGGCAGACGGCUCAGUAACACGUAGUCAACCUACCCUAUAGACGGGGAUAACCUCAGGAAACUGAGGAUAAACCCCGAUAGAUCAUUAUGCCUGGAACGGUUUAUGGUCCAAAUGAUUCGUCGCUAUAGGAUGGGACUGCGGCCUAUCAGCUUGUUGGUGAGGUAAUGGCCCACCAAGACUAUUACAGGUACGGGCUCUGAGAGGAGUAGCCCGGAGAUGGGUACUGAGACACGGACCCAGGCCCUAUGGGGCGCAGCAGGCGAGAAAACUUUGCAAUGUGCGAAAGCACGACAAGGUUAAUCCGAGUGAUUCCUGCUAAAGGAAUCUUUUGUUAGUCAUAAUACCACUAACGAAUAAGGGGUGGGCAAGUUCUGGUGUCAGCCGCCGCGGUAAAACCAGCACCUCAAGUGGUCAGGAUGAUUAUUGGGCCUAAAGCAUCCGUAGCCGGCUUUGUUAGUUUUCGGUUAAAUCCAUAUGCUCAACAUAUGGGCUGCCGGGAAUACUGCAAAGCUAGGGAGUGGGAGAGGUAGACGGUACUCCGUAGGAAGGGGUAAAAUCCUUUGAUCUAUGGAUGACCACCUGUGGCGAAGGCGGUCUACCAGAACACGUCCGACGGUGAGGGAUGAAAGCUGGGGGAGCAAACCGGAUUAGAUACCCGGGUAGUCCCAGCUGUAAACUAUGCAAACUCAGUGAUGCAUUGGCUUGUGGCCAGUGCAGUGCCGCAGG
rnacentral:rRNA from 1 species